rnacentral:rRNA from 1 species
AGCGAAUCUUCAAAUCUACUCUAAGUUCGGAUUGUAGGCUGCAACUCGCCUACAUAAAGAUGGAAUCGCUAGUAAUCGCUGGUCAGCUACACAGCGGUGAAUCCGUUCCCGGGCCUUGUACACACCGCCCGUCACACCAUGGAAGCUGGUCACACCCAAAGUCGUUAUUCUAACCGUUUGGAGGAAGGCGCCUAAGGUAGGAUUGGUGACUGGGGUGAAGUCGUAACAAGGUAGCCGUAGGG